UAGGGAAAUGUUUACAGUCAUCUGGUUC
rnacentral:piRNA from 1 species